UGGGAGUACAGAGAGACAAUGUGAUGCAUGAUGGAAGGUCAUGCUGGUGCCAGCCUUUUGCUAUGUCAUGGCAGGAGCCUAGAGCUACAAGGAGAAAAGCUGCUUUCUCUCUUUUAGAUGAAGUAUUGCCAAGAUGAAUUUCAUCUCAUACUGCACUGGAAAUACUGGAACAAAGGAUAUCACAACAAUUUCCUUUUCAUUAGAGGAAUAUACACUAGAUCAAAUUCAUCUCAACUGAGCCAGACCGCAAAGUUCAAUAUUUCUAACUUAUCCUCAGAAUUACAGUUUUCAGGUGUCUAGACCCUAACAAAUUCAACAGACAAUAUGAAAGACCAGAUUAUCACAAAAUAUGUAUCUAUAUCAUAACAGAAACACAUAUGAUGGAAGAGAAUUGUACCACAAAAACACAGUUGUACCACACAACUGCAUAAAAUUAUUUGAAACAGAUUUAUCUGAAAAAAAAAUUGUCUGCAGAGUAGUCAUCCUGAUUGCAACCUCAAGCUAUCAGAGUUUGUUGGGCAUUCCUAGUUCUAUUGA